rnacentral:rRNA from 1 species
AGUCGGAAUUGCUAGUAAUCGCGGAUCAGCAUGCCGCGGUGAAUACGUUCCCGGGCCUUGUACACACCGCCCGUCACACCAUGGGAGCCGGUAAUACCCGAAGCCAGUAGUUCAACCGCAAGGAGAGCGCUGUCGAAGGUAGGAUUGGCGACUGGGGUGAAGUCGUAACAAGGUACC